ensembl:lncRNA
AUUGAACUGUAUAAUUGACCAGCAUCCUACAAUACUGUGCUUAGCCAUCACGUAUCAUGCCGUCAUCUUUUAAUUUCACUCAAAUAAAUGUUUCAUGAACAUUUUUUUCUCAGGUAUUCCAGUAUUAAGCAGUAUAAUGUACAGUCAUUAUCACAAAAUGAUUUUAUUCUGUCAUUAUAACAAAUUAAACCCCUUCAGGGUGAUACAAGACCUAAUCACCGGUCUGGGUUUAUUUUGUGAUAAUGACAGCACAUUUUCCAAUACAUAUAUAAUGAAAUGACAGAAGCUAAGUGAUGUGCCAUACAAAUUAAAAAAAAAAAAAAAAAAAAAAAAAUCCAUCACAGUGUAUGUUCAGGUGCAUAGUGUUAAUGCACCACAUUUAUCCCAGUACAAAUUAGAGUUGUACAGUUUUGUGACAUUUAAUAAUCUGAAAAUUGGAAUGAACAAGAUGCUAGACUUGAGCUUAUGAAUAUUAAUUAGGUGAAGUUCAUUCAUUAGUUCUACCUGAUUAUCUUAAAAGCCAGAUGCUGGAUUAUUCUUAAUCACAUCUGUAUUUCCAGUAUAUAGUCGGAGAAGGGCAUAUGGUUGCUACACUUUUUUUCAUCCCUGCAUUUUAUUCUCAUAUAGAUCUUCCACUGAACAGGUAAUUAGAUAAAGAUAAAGAACAAAUCCAUAUAUUCAUAAUAUGCAGUGUUAUAUGUGUGAUGAUGAGCAGGCACAGACAGACUCUGUCAGCAUGAAGAGGAUUGUGUGUCCUGAAGCGUAAGAGUGUCUGUCCUGCCAUAUGUGGACAUUAUGUCCAUGUGCUUGCCUUUCUUUAUGCGUUAGGCCCUGCAUAUUGGUAUGUAUGCAUGAGAUCACCCACACUAAGCCACCCAAUCGAGCAUGUCUCCCAUGGGCUUUCACAGCGCCUUCGCCACGUAAAUCAAAGGCGUGGAAGCAACUCACCAGUUCAAAGCGCAGCAGCGAAGUGGAUUGUUCUGGAAGGAUCUGAGAAUGGCUCACUCAGCCAUUAAACUGGGUCCAGUGCAGGAGACAGGUAGGACAGCUUUGUGUUUCUGCUUUAUUCAGUCCUUGAAUGGGAUUCAUGCUCAACAAUGGGUCACGAGACUCCUGAGAUCAGAGUCUCUGAUAAGCACCAGGAGCAGAAGGAUGGAGAGAGCGAGAGUGUUUGCGCCUUGGCUUUUCUCCAUUAUCCCUGUCCAGCUCUUAACUGGGCCUUGCCUGUCAGGAAAUCAAUUAGGGUACGUGGAGGAAUGAAGAGAGCAAUAGAGGUACAGAAUGCACACACAUGAUGGAGAAAACUGCAAAGCUGCUAACUUAUUUAUCUUUUUUUUUCUUUUGCAAACAUGUAAUGUACAAACCAGAAAAACUUUCACCUUUUGAAAUGCACACUUGAAUGCAUGAAAAUGAGGUUUUGUUUACAGGACGCAUUCUCCUUUGUUGUUUUAGAUCUUUGAAGAUUAAAUUUAUGAGCUCUAUAUUUUUAGACAAACUGUAGGCCCACACUAUUUCAAAAAGACUUGAUUUAUUUAAGAUAUUUAUCAUUGUAGUUUAUCACAUCCAGCUUUCUUUGCCCCUGAGGUUUCCACAUGAAGUUAUCAACCUUGGAAAGAAAGCGAUGGGACGUGAUAAGGUACUGUUAUCAGCCACAUCUGUUUAACCUGCAGGUUUUUUUCCGCCCUGUGACUUUGAAAAAGCAAGACAGCUAUCAGUGAAACCUAAUAGAGAACUCUGUCGCUCUGCCUCAUGCCUCAGGCUGCUUAUAUUUCUAGAUUUAAAGGGAUACUCCAACCAAUAAUUCAUUUACUCACCCUCAUGACAUUCCAAACCUGUAUGACUUUCUUUUGUCCAUGGAAGGCAAAGAAUGACGUUUAAUAGAAUGUCCAAGCUGCUCUUUUUCCGUGAGUAGUUUAGCACCCCAUGUACUCUUAUUUUUAGAAAUUAAAUUAAAUUUUUGCUAACUAUCCCUUUAAAAACAGGGCUUGUCAACUCAAUCAUCACCUGCUUAUUCUGCCAGUUUCAUCAAUUAAUCCGCCUCUCUUUCCAUGUUUCCUUCCUCAAGGUGACCGCAUGAUGCAAGUUGACGCAUGGCGCCUGUAAAACAGAUUGCAUUUAUGAUAAUGAGGCUAGUUGAGGGUAACAUCAAAGCAUAUUUUCAUUCCAUCACUUUCAAGGCUGACAUCUCCAAUCAAUGCGAAACUGAUUGUGAAUCAAUUUCCUAAUGAUGGGAAAUCAAUAUUUAAUCUGUGAAUGUAGGGUGAGAUCUUGGUCAAGGUGAAGGUUUUCCCACAAUCCUGUACUUCCGAGUGAACUGUUUUAUGUUUCACCUUCGAGUACAAAGCUGAAGCUUCUGGCAGAGUAUUAAGGAAUUCACACUAUCAUCUAUCUUUCUAAAAGAAACAAGCAAAUAAAUAAAUAAGAAUCACUGAGAAGGGAAACUCUCUGAGCUCAUAGCUCCCGACUAUCCUUUAUUUCUCAGAUUUUUUCCUCUAACAGCUGCACUGUUCGCAGUUUUCAUUUUGUCAUAUCCGGCCUUCAGAUAUCCCAGCUAAGCUUCUGCUGAGGUGACCCAUCACUCUUCGUAGUUGAGCCAAGCUCUGAAAAAAGUACACUGCUUUACUGCUCGCCAUGUGUGACAGGCUCCCUUGUGCGUCUAUGAGAGAGUCUGAGUGUUUGCCCAGCCUUGGUUUCCUUCCUUUCCUGUUCUAUUGCAGAAGAUCUUUGGUGUGAAAGGCAAUCCUAUUACCACAGCCCGGCGAUAAGGGGGACUGGCUUGCUCACAAAGAACAAACCGGAGAAAGCGAGCUUCCAUUGGCUUUGGUUUAACCCAGGGCCAAACAUUCUGGUGAGGUUUUCAUCCCAUCAUUUCAAGGAAAUUGGGUCUUCGGCUGAGAUAGUAUGUGUUUAGGAGAUGGAAUAAGGUGUGAAAUUUCACCACAUCCGGCUGCUGCAUCAUCAGCAACACAAGCGAGAAGAAAAAGUGGCAGCUCAGAAAGCCCAGAGUGGUGCUGAAUAGUUCACACAUCUCUAGGUCUGAAAAUUAUGCUAAGGAAUGCAAAAUGCUAAAAGCCUUUUUGAAGUAUUCAUAUUAGGACUUGUAUUAAAGACACAUGAUCAGGUUUUUACAGUCAGGACUUAGAAUUUCAACCAUCUGUGAGUAGUUCUCUUAGAUAUUUAUUUGACAGAUAUACUGGCAACAUAUUUCUUAUUCCAGCUAAAAUAAUGGUGUUUCUU